rnacentral:tRNA from 1 species
GAAAAAUUAAUUAAUGAUAUUAUAAUAUAGACUUGUCGAGUCUAAAUAACCCCUGAGGUAUUUUUCU